rnacentral:rRNA from 1 species
GGGGGGGGGGGGGGGGGGGGCGGGGGGGGGCGGGGGGGGCGGACGGGGGGGGGGCGUGGGUCGCGGGGGGCGGCGGCGGACGGGUGAGGAGCACGCGGGUAACGUGCCUGUAAGACUGGGCUAACGUCGGGGAACCGGAGCUCAUACCGGGGCAUAUUUUGAACCGCCCGGUUCCAAAGUGAACGACGGUCCUGCCGUCACUUAUAGAUGGAGCCGCGCUGCAUUAGCUAGUUGGUACGGUAACGGCUUACCAAGGCAACGCUGCAUAGCCGACCUGAGAGGGUGAUCGGCCACGCUGGAACUGAGACCCGGUCCCGACUCCUACGGGAGGCCGCAGUAGGGAAUCUUCCGCACUGGGCGCAAGCCUGACGGAGCACCGCCGCGCGAGUGAUGAAGCUCUUCGGAUCGGAAAACGCUGUUAUUAGGGCAGAACAUAUGUGUAAGUAACUGUGCACAUCCUGCCGGUACCUUGUCAGAACGCCACGGCUAACUUCGUG